rnacentral:rRNA from 1 species
UACAGAGGUCUCAAGCGUUGUUCGGAUUCAUUGGGCGUAAAGGGUGCGUAGGCGGCGCGGUAAGUCGGAUGUGAAAUCUCGGAGCUUAACUUCGAAACUGCAUUCGAUACUGCCGUGCUUGAGGACUGGAGAGGAGACUGGAAUUUACGGUGUAGCGGUGAAAUGCGUAGAUAUCGGGAGGAACACCAGUGGCGAAGGCGGCUUCCUGGCCUGUUCUUGACGCUGAGGCGCGAAAGCUAGGGGAGCAAACGGG